rnacentral:lncRNA from 1 species
CUUAAACAAAACUGUGGGAUUUUUAGUCCCUAGUUUGGCCCUAGUUGUGCUUAUCUGUGGGUACCAGUGGACCUUGGCCCAUGCAUGGACCUUCUGGCUUAGUUGCAGGCCUGCCCUGUCACUAUGGGCCUGUCUAGUAGUCUCUGGACUUUCUCUCAUCAUGAUGUUGAGCUGUGGAUUGACCACCCAGCUUGACUUCAUACCUGUGUCAUCAGUGUGGACUUUCCUGCUAACUGGGGCUUGUGGUUGAAGCUGGCUCCUGUUCCUAGAGCUGCACUGCUAUUCUGAUGUAGUACUCUGGGAUAGGCUCUGUCCAGCCCUCAGUUCCUGCCUCUCCAUCCUGCUGGGAGAAGAUGUGGAUUAGUCAAGACGACACUAAAGUCAUCCAACCUGAAGCAGGAGUCUGGGAGCUCAUUCUGGUUGCAGCCUUCCUGUUGGGACUGGGGAGAAUUCUGCAGAGAAAUAGGCCAACUAAGCGAUUUAGUUUUCUUUUAAUUCUUGUUUGUCUCAUGGUGUUACCAUAUGGAGGAGGCACACAGCAGUUUGUAACAGACACCUGUGCAGCUUUUGUUUUAAGGAAGCACGUGGGCUGGACAGCAGACCAGGAUAUCCUUCAAGUCUGACUUAUGCUAAGGCAAGGAGCCAAAAGUAGUCCUAAACCUGCCUUAGUGGGCUGACGGAGACUUCACUCAGCACUUCUGAAAUGUCUGCUGGCUUUGGAGCACUGUUCCCAAGAAACCCAGCAAGGAAGGCUACCAGUGAAAGAAAUCUGGGCAAG